GCGGCAGAAUGCUCAUGUUCUUUCGUGGAUUUAUCACACAUUAAUCAGUUUAUCAGGCUCUUUUUCCAAAACCACUUGCAACGUUCUUCGUUUUGAAGCAAAACAAUUACUCAAGGUUGUAGCCCAUUUUUCGCAUCAUUCCGAAUUCUGAUGAAAGUUGUUUUUUUAUUUGGGAAAAAUGCUCUUGUUCUAUCGAGGAUUUACCACAGAUUAAUCAGUUUACCGGGCUCUUUUCCAAAACCACUUGGAACGUUCUUCGUUUUACAGCAAAACAACAACUCAGGGUUG